rnacentral:rRNA from 1 species
UACGAGGGGGGCAAGCGUUGUUCGGAAUUACUGGGCGUAAAGGGCUCGUAGGCGGCCAACUAAGUCAGACGUGAAAUCCCUCGGCUUAACCGGGGAACUGCGUCUGAUACUGGAUGGCUUGAGUUCGGGAGAGGGAUGCGGAAUUCCAGGUGUAGCGGUGAAAUGCGUAGAUAUCUGGAGGAACACCGGUGGCGAAGGCGGCAUCCUGGACCGACACUGACACUGAGGAGCGAAAGCUAGGGGAGCAAACGGG